AGGGCAGCCAGACCAUCUUCCUCCCCUGACUGCCUGCAACAGCCUCCUGUGCCACUGAGAGCAAUGCACACGCUCUUCACCACGGUCUGUGGCCUGCAGUGACCCCCACCCCCCGCUGUGCUCCGACCUCACCGUCCUCACUCUAGACACCUGCCUUGUCUCAGCAUCCUGGAGAGCUGAACACAGAGCCCGGGAAUCAGCCCAGCAGACUUAACUCCCGCGCACCCAGCAGCUGCAUCUUGGAAGAGGCCCUUGGGCUGGGGCAGGAAGCCUCUUUAAUAACAAGAGCAAUGUAUAGUGCUUCAGGACAGGAACCGUGACUGAGUGGCCCACUGCGGACCUCAACACCAGCCACAGAGCUGAUCGCAAUACACGUCUCAUCCAUGACCGGGUGAAUCACUGUUUUCAUCCGGCCUAAGAUGGACUUUCCUAGAAAAACCUAACAUUUCCUCUAAGGAGAAAUCUGGGUGAACACACUUCUUUCUCUAAGUCCACAUUUUUGUUGCUGAUGAUUUAGGAAAACAAUCAAGGAGACUGCUCUGGUCCUAAAAUCUUCCUCAGGGCUAGGCUUCAGCAUCAAGUCAGAAAGUUUAUGUAGUGUUCAUAGGUAAGCCAAAUGGAAUGGCUUUCCCCAAACACCUGGAAGAAUUGUCCACCACUGUCAAAAACUUAUUACCUUUAUCCUCGACAGGGAGUUUUCAAAUGUUGAAACAGUUUUAAGGACAGCAACUCAUGACGCAAUUUUUUUGCCUGUUCGGUUUUUCGUUUACUUGAAAGGCCUUAAGCGUUUUGAAACAGUAGCUGGAGCUGGGUGCUGUGGUUAUGCCAGAGUUCUGGCUUAGGGGCCUGCUGCUGUCAGGAGCAAUGAGAUAGUCUGAGGGUGAGAGCACU
rnacentral:lncRNA from 10 species